UACCAAGUCCUGUAGGAAAAUUCCCAAUUAUACCAAAUUUAUCAGCAGACUUGGAUAUAUUCGACUAAGAAUUACUGAAUGAAGUCAAAACCUUGAUGAGAGGAUCAGUUGAAUCAUCGAGGACUUGAACUAUGAUUCGGUCAGACGGCCAUGAAAGGCGGCACACAGCUUCUAUUGACAGCUUGUAAACCUGCAAGCAGCCAUUUUUCAUUUAUUAAUGCUGCCAUAAAGCUGCUGUAAGGGGAAUUGGUGGUGAUGGAGAUGAAAUGAUUCAGUUGUGGGAGGUGGAGGUGAAUACAGUCAGUUAGAUUCUCGACACUACCUACUGCUGGUUUUGAAGCUAGUGUUUUUGGAGUUCAAAAAGACGUUACUACAAAAGAAACCAUCUUGAAGCUAUGGAGGUAUUUAAAGGAAGAAGCUGUCAGUAGAAAAUGGAAUUGAAUUGCUCAGCUAACCUUUCUUUCAUUGUACAUGGGUAUCUGAACCAGCACCAUCGGAUAGUCUGCCGUGCACUUCUGAACCUCACCUUGUUCUUCGACGCUGUGUUCCACAGGAUUAAUGGCUUCGAAUUUGUAACGCUUUUCUGGUUUAAACCCAGAAAGCAUUACAUAAUAGAUUAUGCCUGACAUAUACAAUCGUUCAACGAACACCAUCAGUAUCAUCACUGAACACAGGUAGACUGAUACUGUCAAGACUGGAACUAUGAUCGAGCUUCGUAUUACAUUCCAUAUCAAUCCAAGUUCUCUGAUUAUAUCAUAUUUAGUCAACUGGAACAGAGUUUCAUGAACAUAGCUUGUUAUGAAUGGAGCCCAGUCAUCCAUUACUACUUGCUUGAAACCUUCCAUUCUCAAACUCAACAAGAGAAGAAAAAACAACUUCUGAUUUCAGUGCUCAUUAUUAUUAUUAUCUGAGACUGAGAAUCUAAAGUAGUAAAAACAAGAACAGGUCUUAAGAGAAGUUGUUGUUAGCUGCCAAUAAUGAAUCAAUCAUUUUUAUUCUAUGA